GAGAGAGGACGACCUCCCCCUGAAUGGGCAUAACGCCGGGACGACCCGG
rnacentral:ncRNA from 1 species